rnacentral:rRNA from 1 species
CCUACGGGAGGCAGCAGUGGGGAAUAUUGCACAAUGGGCGGAAGCCUGAUGCAGCGACGCCGCGUGAGGGAUGACGGCCUUCGGGUUGUAAACCUCUUUCAGUAGGGAAGAAGCGUAAGUGACGGUACCUGCAGAAGAAGCGCCGGCUAACUACGUGCCAGCAGCCGCGGUAAUACGUAGGGCGCAAGCGUUAUCCGGAAUUAUUGGGCGUAAAGAGCUCGUAGGCGGUUUGUCGCGUCUGCCGUGAAAGUCCGGGGCUCAACUCCGGAUCUGCGGUGGGUACGGGCAGACUAGAGUGAUGUAGGGGAGACUGGAAUUCCUGGUGUAGCGGUGAAAUGCGCAGAUAUCAGGAGGAACACCGAUGGCGAAGGCAGGUCUCUGGGCAUUAACUGACGCUGAGGAGCGAAAGCAUGGGGAGCGAACAGGAUUAGAUACCCUGGUAGUCCAUGCCGUAAACGUUGGGCACUAGGUGUGGGGGACAUUCCACGGUUUCCGCGCCGUAGCUAACGCAUUAAGUGCCCCGCCUGGGGNGACGCGCGAGACUAACUAAAGAAGUAGAGNGNGAGAGNGCGAGCGACGACGAGGGAGAG